GCAUGGUCAGUGAGAGUUGGGGUCGGGCUUGUCAUGGAAGCCAGAUGUAAAGGGAAGGGAUAUGGAUAGGCCUUCCCAAGAUUCAAUGUUUUCUUUUGCUCUUUGUAAUAGGGGUGAGGGUUUGUCGUGUGUUGUUGUAUGCCUGUCUUGAUGGAAUGAAGCCCACUUGGUCAAGGUGGAUAAACUUGGGUAGGUGGGGGUAGU